UGGGGAAUAUUGGACAAUGGGGGCAACCCUGAUCCAGCAAUGCCGCGUGUGUGAAGAAGGCCUUCGGGUUGUAAAGCACUUUUGUACGGAAAGAAAGCUUCCGGGUUAAUACCCUGGGAGGAUGACGGUACCGUAAGAAUAAGCACCGGCUAACUUCGUGCCAGCAGCCGCGGUAAUACGAAGGGUGCAAGCGUUAAUCGGAAUUACUGGGCGUAAAGCGUGCGUAGGUGGUUGUUCAAGUCUGUCGUGAAAGCCCUGGGCUCAACCUGGGAAUGGCGAUGGAAACUGUACGACUAGAGUGCGGUAGAGGAUGGUGGAAUUCCCGGUGUAGCGGUGAAAUGCGUAGAGAUCGGGAGGAACAUUCGUGGCGAAGGCGGCCAUCUGGACCAGCACUGACACUGAGGUACGAAAGCGUGGGGAGCAAACAGG
rnacentral:rRNA from 1 species